rnacentral:rRNA from 1 species
AUUGAACGCUGGCGGCAGGCCUAACACAUGCAAGUCGAGCGAGCGUCGGACGGGUGAGUAAUGUAUGGGGACUGCCCGAUAGAGGGGGAUAACAGCUGUAAACGGUGGCGAAUACCGCAUAUUGUCCGAUAAACCAUAUGUGAUUAGAUAGUAGGUAAGGUAAUGGCUUACCGAGGUGACGAUCCCUAGCUGGGCUGAGAGGAUGAUCAGCCACACUGGGACUGAGACACGGCCCAGACUCCUACGGAGGCAGCAGUGGGGAAUAUUGCACAAUGGGCGCAAGCCUGAUGCAGCCAUGCCGCGUGUAUGAAGAAGGCCCUAGGGUUGUAAAGUACUUUCAGUCGGGAGGCGUUACCGACUGAAGAAGCACCGGCUAACUCCGUGCCAGCCGCCGCGGUAAUUC